UCAAGCAGCACAAGCAGAGUUCCUGAGCCAAAUAUUCCCGUGCUGUGAACGAUGUGCCUUGACUGCCUUUCUCCAGCAGCUGCCAAUUCUCCUCUGGCUCUCUCUAGGCUGAGUGGGGAAUUGAGUGCCAUACAGCUGGUCAGUGGCUGGACAGAGAUCCUUGAGAAGAUAGGCAUCCCAGAGGCCCCAGAAUACAGAUGCCUGUGCAGUACAUCCUUGGGGACUGGGACUUUUGCUGGCUCAAUCUGAAGAUGACAUCCCCAGUGUUCAUUCCUCAACUAGAG